CUCCUGUGUCUGAUGGCUGGCGUGUCACUCUACUCUAAACAUCAGAUGAAGAAAUCAGAUCAGGACAGCUGCCAGAAAGCCUGAGGAUUUAUCUUCAUUGCCAUGAUUUUGUUGGACAUCAGCACUGGGAUGCCAGGAUUUUGUCCUGCUGCCCAUCACCACAGUAUCUGAGAGCCUUCCAUGUCAAAUCAAUAGCAAAACUGCUAAUGAACUUCAUGGAGUCUACACACUUAGUAAGAGACAGUGCCUGCUCCAAAGAGCUUUCAAUCAAAAUAGACAAGUCAGACAAAAGAUGGACAAAAGAAUUGUCAUCCCAGUUUUGCUAAAGGUGAGCUGAGUCCCAGAGAGAGUAACCGAUUUUCCAAAGGUCACCCAGGGAAUUUUUAGUAGAAACCAAUAUUGAACCCACGUCUGCUGAGUCCAGAUACCGUGCCUUAACCAUAAGAUCAUGCUUUGUCUAUAGAUCUCAAAACGCAUUCAUUGCAAGUACAGUAAC